UUACGGCCACAUCACGUUGAAACAUUGGUUCCCGUACGAUCACAGAGAUAAGCAACAUCGAGCUUGGUCAGUACCUAGAUGGGUGACCGCUUGAGAACACCAGGUUG
rnacentral:rRNA from 1 species